rnacentral:lncRNA from 1 species
AUCAUCAUUAAAAGCCAAAUGUCCUUGCUUUCCAAUCACAUGAUGAACUAUAGGAAAUGCAAAAGAACGGAGUUGGUAAUUCAGAACAUAGGAAACAUCUGAGAAGACCAAAUUUGUUGAUAGUGAAUUUUAGCCAUAGACAUAGGGAGUUGACUGCUCCAAUUUAACAUGAAAAUGAAAAAGAUGCCAACUAAAAAGUAUUUCACUGAAUCAUAUUUUGGAAGAAGUUAAUCUCAUUUCUCAGUAACAUUAAUGCUCAGGUCUCCUUCAGGUGGUAAGAUCCAACACUAUUUUUCCAGUUCAUUCUAGGAUUCUUGUAACUGAUAACACUAGCAUGCUCUGGGAGUGAUUCCAAGUGAAUGUUUAUAUGGAGUGUGUGUGUAUUAUUUUAAACAACACAUGUAAGGAGCAACAUGUUAUAUUUUGACUUUUCCACAUUUUAUGUUAUCACCCUUGGUUUUGGAACCACACUAUGUUGUAGGAUGGAGAAGCAAGAAAGCAUGAUGCCAGAAUUUUAGUGAUUAAAUAUGUGAUGAAAAUAUUAUCUUAGACCAUUACAGCUCUAGGCAGAUGAUAGAAAAAUAUAUUACACUUUCAGGUAUCAUCACAUGAUUCUUCUUUUUUUUUUUUUUGUCUUACUCUUCAAACUAAGACAAGGAAUGAGAUGUCAUUGACAAAAUGACAAGGGGACAAUAAAUAUUUUCUGAUCUUGGGAAAUCA